rnacentral:rRNA from 1 species
CUACGGGUUGCACCAGUGGGGAAUCUUAGACAAUGGGGGAAACCCUGAUCUAGCCAUGCCGCGUGAGCGACGACGGCCCUAGGGUUGUAAAGCUCUUUCAGCAGGGAAGAUAAUGACGGUACCUGCAGAAGAAGUCCCGGCUAACUCCGUGCCAGCAGCCGCGGUAAACGGAGGGGACUAGCGUUGUUCGGACUUACUGGGCGUAAAGCGCGCGUAGGCGGAUUGUUAAGUCGGGGGUGAAAUCCCGGGGCUCAACCCCGGAACUGCCCUCGAUACUGGCAGUCUUGAGUUCGAGAGAGGUGAGUGGAAUUCCGAGUGUAGAGGUGAAAUUCGUAGAUAUUCGGAGGAACACCAGUGGCGAAGGCGGCUCACUGGCUCGAUACUGACGCUGAGGUGCGAAAGCGUGGGGAGCAAACAGGAUUAGAUACCCCUGUAGUC